AAUAGAUACCCGGGUAGUCCACGCCGUAAACGAUGAGUGCUAAGUGUUAGGGGGUUUCCGCCCCUUAGUGCUGCAGCUAACGCAUUAAGCACUCCGCCUGGGGAGUACGGUCGCAAGACUGAAACUCAAAGGAAUUGACGGGGGCCCGCACAAGCGGUGGAGCAUGUGGUUUAAUUCGAAGCAACGCGAAGAACCUUACCAGGUCUUGACAUCCCAUUGACCACUAUGGAGACAUAGUUUUCCCUUCGGGGACAACGGUGACAGGUGGUGCAUGGUUGUCGUCAGCUCGUGUCGUGAGAUGUUGGGUUAAGUCCCGCAACGAGCGCAAUCCUUGUUCUUAGUUGCCAUCAUUUAGUUGGGCACUCUAAGGAGACUGCCGGUGACAAACCGGAGGAAGGUGGGGAUGACGUCAAAUCAUCAUGCCCCUUAUGACCUGGGCUACACACGUGCUACAAUGGACGGUACAAACGGUUGCCAACCCGCGAGGGGGAGCUAAUCCGAUAAAACCGUUCUCAGUUCGGAUUGUAGGCUGCAACUCGCCUACAUGAAC
rnacentral:rRNA from 1 species